CGCGAACGGGUGAGUAACACGUGGGUAACCUGCCCCGAUGAUCGGGACAACCCGGGGAAACCCGGGCUAAUACCGAAUGUGCUCGCGAGCCGCAAGGCCCGCGAGGAAAGGAAGCUUCGGCCUCCGCAUCGGGAUGGGCCCGCGGCCAUUAGCUUGUUGGUGGGGUAACGGCCUACCAAGGCGACGAUGGGUAGCUGGUCUGAGAGGACGAUCAGCCACACUGGGACUGAGACACGGCCCAGACUCCUACGGGAGGCAGCAGUGGGGAAUCUUGCGCAAUGCGCGAAAGCGUGACGCAGCAACGCCGCGUGGGGGAAGACGGCCUUCGGGUUGUAAACCCCUUUCAGUUGGGACGAAGCUCCGUCGGUGAAUAGCCGGCUGGAGUGACGGUACCUUCAGAAGAAGCCCCGGCUAACUACGUGCCAGCCGCCGCGG
rnacentral:rRNA from 1 species